AUACAACUUUCAGCAACGGAUCUCUUGGCUCUCGCAUCGAUGAAGAACGCAGCGAAAUGCGAUAAGUAAUGUGAAUUGCAGAAUUCAGUGAAUCAUCGAAUCUUUGAACGCACCUUGCGCCCCUUGGUAUUCCGAGGGGCAUGCCUGUUUGAGUGUCAUUAAAUUC
rnacentral:rRNA from 1 species